AAAAAACAUAUUUAUAUUGGCACUUGUCCACAAUGUCUCCAAUACUCGUGUUUCAAUGUUUUCUGUUAUUUUUCAUUCUCUUAGCCUCAUCAACUGCACCGAUUAAUAUUCCAAGGCUUAGUCCAAUAGGACCAAGAAUUCUUGAAGAUUCAGAUGAGAUUUUGCCUAAAUCAAUUUCAGAUGAUCUGGAGACUUUCUUUUACAACCAAACCCUUGAUCACUUCAACUAUAAACCUGAAAGCUACAAUACCUUUGAGCAAAGAUAUGUUAUCAGUUCCAAAUACUGGGGUGGUGCUAAUUCUCUUGCACCUAUUCUUGUGUAUUUUGGAGCAGAAGCACCACUUGAUGGUGAUCUUGCUGUUGUUGGUUUUCUCUCUGACAAUGCGUUUCGAUUGAAUGCUCUUCUGUUAUAUAUAGAGCAUAGAUACUAUGGGAAAUCAAUCCCAUCUGGAUCAAGGGAAGAAGCCUUCAAAAAUGGACGCACUCGUGGGUAUUUCAACUCUGCACAAGCUAUUGCAGACUAUGCAGAAAUUAUCAUUCAUGUCAAGAAACUCUUACAUGCUGAAAAUUCUCCGGUUAUCGCCAUCGGAGGAUCCUAUGGUGGAAUGUUGGCUUGCUGGUUUCGGCUCAAGUACCCUCACAUAGCCCUUGGAGCUUUGGCCUCAUCAGCACCUGUUCUUUAUGUUGAUCAUAUUUCGCCGCCUGAUGGACAUGAUUCCAUCGUUGCGAAUGAUUUUAGAGAAGCUAGUGAGACUUGCUACCAGACAAUAAAGAAGUCAUGGGCAGAAAUUGAUGAAAUUGCAUCUAAACCCAAUGGCCUUUCAAUCCUCAGCAAGAAAUUCAAAACUUGCAAAUCCUUAACUGACUCCUAUGAGCUCAAAAACUACUUGGUUUCCAUGUAUAGUGGCGCUGCUCAGUACAAUAAGCCACCCACAUAUCCUGUAAAUAUAGUCUGCAGUGGCAUAGAUGGAAGCUCAAGCACCGAUUCUGGCAAAGAUAAUCUAAGCAAAAUAUUUGCUGGUCUUUUUGCUUACAUGGGAGACAGAUCUUGCUAUAUUAAUUCACCCGCUAAUGUACCUGAAACAAGUAUGGGGUGGAGAUGGGAGACAUGUAGCGAGAUGGUGAUACCUAUUGGCCGCGGGAAUGACACCAUGUUCCCCCCUGACCCUUUUGACCUCAAGAGCUACAUCCAAGAUUGCAAAGAUUUGUUUGGCGUUCCACCCCGUCCUCAUUGGGUCACUGCCUAUUAUGGAAACCACAGUAUAAAAGUUAUUCUCCAGAGGUAUGGCAGCAACAUCAUUUUCUCCAAUGGAUUGAAAGAUCCUUAUAGUAGUGGCGGGGUGUUGGAGAACUUAUCGGACAACAUAACUGCUGUUUAUACAGUUAACGGGUCUCAUUGCUUGGACAUACUUUUUGCAAACAAAACAACUGAUCCAGUGUGGUUGGUAGCACAACGAGAAGUUGAGAUCAAAAUUAUUGAAGGGUGGAUUAAUGAGUACUAUGAUGAUCUAAGAAAUCAGCACCCUAAUAUAGCCCGUCGAGCUUUGGCCUCAUCAGCAACUGUUCACUCUCAUCAUAUUUCGCCUCCAGAUGAGCAUGAUUAAAUCUUUAGAGUAAUCUACUGUUAGGAAGAGAGUUAAGUGAGUAAGUCUACUGUGCAGUUGCUGAGUUGGCAAUAAGUGGCGGGAACAAUUAAUAAUUGGUUAGCUGUAUUAGUCAAUCAAUGUAAGUCUUGUAUUGAGAAAGUAGAGUCAUGCAUUGAGAGUAUAAAUGCUUUGUGCUGCUGAAGAAUACAUUUAAUGCAAUUAGUAAAACAAAUAUCAUUUCUUCCCUAAUUCUUUAUCUCUUUUCUCUCUCCCUUUUUUCUCUUUUUCUCGAAUCUUCUUUGUUGCUCUUCUCUCUCUUCUCUUCACUAUUCUGUUCUUCUCUUCUCUAUUCCAAUCCUUCUCUGAAUUGUGAGUUAGGAAGCUAGUGAGACUUGCUACCAGACAAUAAAGAAGUCAUGGGCAGAAAUUGGUUUUGUUGUUUGUCUUUUGUUGUUUCUUUCAAUAAACUCUCUAAUCUAUGUCCAUUUGGAAUAUAUUUGGGUUUACCUCUUCAUAUCUAUGUCCGUUAGUUUCUUUGCUUCAAAGAGGUUCCAACUGAGAUUUCUUUAUGAGUUUUAUGUUUUCUUUUCUUUAUUUAGUCUAUGGAUUUGAUUUUAUUUUCAUUCAAUAUUAUGAAUUUUAUGCUUUGAUUCAA